ACUCAAAGGAAUUGACGGGGACCCGCACAAGCGGUGGAGCAUGUGGUUUAAUUCGAAGCAACGCGAAGAACCUUACCAGGUCUUGACAUCCCAUUGACCGGUCCGUAACGGGACCUUCCCUUCGGGGCAAUGGAGACAGGUGGUGCAUGGUUGUCGUCAGCUCGUGUCGUGAGAUGUUGGGUUAAGUCCCGCAACGAGCGCAACCCUUAUCUUUAGUAGCCAGCGGUUCGGCCGGGCACUCUAGAGAGACUGCCAGGGAUAACCUGGAGGAAGGCGGGGAUGACGUCAAAUCAUCAUGCCCCUUAUGAUCUGGGCUACACACGUGCUACAAUGGUGACUACAAAGGGAAGCGAAGCAGUGAUGUGGAGCAAAUCCCAAAAAGGUCAUCUCAGUUCGGAUUGUAGUCUGCAACUCGACUACAUGAAGCUGGAAUCGCUAGUAAUCGCGAAUCAGAAUGUCGUGGUGAAUACGUUCCCGGGUCUUGCACACACCGCCCGU
rnacentral:rRNA from 1 species